UUAUUUUAUUGUUUAAUCAAGGAAACAUUCAUGUUUUUACAUUGUAACACGACAGCAAAAAAAGUAUAAUAGAUUUUGAGUAUUUCUCGUUCUCUUUUGGUAGAAUUCAGUAGAUUUUAACCUCCACAAGCAGUAGAUUCGUCAAAUAAAAACUGGUCACACUGAUCCUGUCAUUUUGGCAGGAUUGGACUCUUAUUUUAGCUUCUGGUAGUUUUUUGGCAGUAUUGGGAUAACGAAAAUAAAUUACCUUAUGGCAACACAAUAAAAUGUAAAAAAAGACAACCCUGAAGAUACUUCGUGAGCAUGUAAGGGAUUUCCCCGUACUUCUCGUGUUAUGUUCGUAUCACAUUCAAUUAACAACUUUAAAACUUUGCUUAUAAAGUUGAUAAUCUUGAAACGAGUAUUCAUAAACACGAGUUUACGGUUUAUAUUUCAAUUUAAUCAAUCAUAGAGACAUACUUAUCGAUAGAUUCGAUUUAGAUUUUAAGGUGAUACUAUCUUGUUAGUGACAUUUCUUGGGCGAUACUUAUUAUUAUUGGUGGUGGUGAUGAAGCGAAAAUAUGAAGGGGCGUAUAGAGCGGAAUGAAAUUAUCGUGGAUCUCUGAAGCUAAAGAUGAUCCAGAAGUAGCCAGAAGUAGUUGUAAUGCCGGUAGCUGCAAAUUAGUAACCCGUCUGUCCGCUAUAAAAGACCAUGCCGCUACUAGUAAACAUAAAAAAUAAUAAUUAGAGGAUACUCGGGGUAGUCUUCGCCACAGCCACCGCCGCUGCCAGCCAAAGCCAACGAAGGGGGGAUAGUGUUAAUAAAACAAGCCGUGCCAGCCAUUUCUACCUGCUUUCUGCAUUCUCGCACAAAUAAAAGAACUUGUCGUUA